CAAUGGCGAAGUGCUAAGUCUCUCUCAUUUCGCCCAUCUCCGAUCCUCGUUUUCGGUUUUGGAUCGAAAACAUUAGUUGAUUUCGAUUCUUUCUUAGAGGCUACACGAGCAUGGUGCAAUAUGCAAUUCUUCUGUUCAUGUCAUACAGCAGGUCCAUGUUGUCAUGGCUUUGUUCCUAGGAAGAAAAUACUUGAAUCUUUUCUAUGUGAAAAUAAUCAAAUCGUUUAUGGUGAUUGUGUUUUAAAUUAAAAUUUUAAAAUUUGACACA